UACGUAGGUGGCAAGCGUUGUCCGGAUUUAUUGGGCGUAAAGAGCGUGUAGGCGGCCAAGCAGGUCCGUUGUGAAAACUGGAGGCUUAACCUCCAGACGUCGACGGAAACCGCGUGGCUAGAGUCCGGAAGAGGAGAGUGGAAUUCCUGGUGUAGCGGUGAAAUGCGCAGAUAUCAGGAAGAACACCAAUGGCGAAGGCAGCUCUCUGGGACGGUACUGACGCUGAGACGCGAAAGCGUGGGGAGCGAACAGG
rnacentral:rRNA from 1 species